AUCUCAGUCCCUGCACUCUGUUGGGGGCACUGAAGAUGACAGCAGCUGUGGAUCACGGAGACAACCACCCCCCAAACCCAAGCGAGACCCCAGCACCAAGCUUAGCACCUCAUCUGAGACAGUCAACAGCACUGCAGCCACUAAGAGUGGGAGACCUCUGGAGAGGGCAGAAGUGUCUGCCAAGCCAAGACCCCACAGUGACGAAUAUUCAAAGAAAAUCCCCCCUCCGAAACCGAAACGGAAUCCUAACACUCAACUUAGUACGUCUUUCGAUGAAACCUACAUCAAAAAGCAUGUGCCAAGGAGGACCUCUCUCCCGCGAGAUUCAUCCCUGUCCCAAGUCUGCAGCCCCGCGGCAGACCCUGAAGAAGA
rnacentral:lncRNA from 1 species